rnacentral:rRNA from 1 species
GACGAACGCUGGCGGCGUGCUUAACACAUGCAAGUCGAACGGAAAGGCCCUGCUGUUGUGGGGUGCUCGAGGGGCGAACGGGUGAGUAACACGUGAGUAACCUGCCCUUGACGUUGGGAUAACUUCAGGAAACUGGGGCUAAUACCGGAUAGGAGGUCCUGCUGCAGGGUGGGGGUUGGAAAGUUUCGGCGGUUGGGGAUGGACUCGCGGCUUAUCAGCUUGUUGGUGGGGUAGUGGCUUACCAAGGCUUUGACGGGUAGCCGGCCUGAGAGGGUGACCGGCCCCAUGGGGACUGAGAUACGGCGCAGACUCCUACGGGAGGCAGCGGUGGGGAGUAUUGCACAAUGGGCGGAAGCGUGAUGCAGCAACGCCGCGUGCGGGAUGCCGGCCUUCGGGUUGUAAACCGCUUUCGCCUGUGACGAAGCGUGAGUGACGGUAAUGGGUAAAGAAGCACCGGCUAACUACGUG